UGGGGAAUGUUGGGAUCCCUAGGGCCAUGUGUCCUCCUUUAAGGAUGGGUGGGGUCCACCCUAAAAUAAAAGAAAACCCUAGGGUGACAAGUGUUGAGCACAUCAUAAUUUUUUAACAAUAACCCAAUGCAAAAGUUUGUCUAAAAAGUUUAAACAAUUAAAAUUAUAAUACAACUAAAAUUUAAAAUGUCUAAUUUGAGAGUCUUGAAUUUAUUUUGUCUCCUCCAAAUGUCCC
rnacentral:lncRNA from 1 species